rnacentral:snoRNA from 1 species
GGUACAAAAAUCCUUAAGUAAACAGAGCAACCUGAAUCCAAUAUUAAAAGAUUAUUCACUCAGCCUUCAGUAGUGCCAUGAUGGGCAAAAGGGCAGCUGACACUUGGAGAUAUCCCUGUCUGGGGUUUCUUGGUGCUACCAGGGGGACGCUGUGGUCGGCAUCCAACAGCUCUGUUACAAAGGGACUUUGGUCAGUGGGAGUGCUGGGAUCUGGGGUUAUGAUCUGAUGCUUUAAAGCUAAGACC